rnacentral:rRNA from 1 species
UCAGAUUGACGCUGGCGGCAGGCCUAACACAUGCAAGUCGAGCGGAUGAGAGGAGCUUGCUCCUCGAUUCAGCGGCGGACGGGUGAGUAAUGCCUAGGAAUCUGCCUAGUAGUGGGGGACAACGUUUCGAAAGGAACGCUAAUACCGCAUACGUCCUACGGGAGAAAGUGGGGGAUCUUCGGACCUCACGCUAUUAGAUGAGCCUAGGUCGGAUUAGCUAGUUGGUAGGGUAAAGGCCUACCAAGGCGACGAUCCGUAACUGGUCUGAGAGGAUGAUCAGUCACACUGGAACUGAGACACGGUCCAGACUCCUACGGGAGGCAGCAGUGGGGAAUAUUGGACAAUGGGCGAAAGCCUGAUCCAGCCAUGCCGCGUGUGUGAAGAAGGCCCUCGGGUCGUAAAGCACUUUAAGUUGGGAGGAAGGGCUUACAGCGAAUACCUGUGAGUUUUGACGUUACCGACAGAAUAAGCACCGGCUAACUUCGUGCCAGCAGCCGCGGUAAUACGAAGGGUGCAAGCGUUAAUCGGAAUUACUGGGCGUAAAGCGCGCGUAGGUGGCUUGAUAAGUUGGAUGUGAAAUCCCCGGGCUCAACCUGGGAACUGCAUCCAAAACUGUCUGGCUAGAGUGCGGUAGAGGGUAGUGGAAUUUCCAGUGUAGCGGUGAAAUGCGUAGAUAUUGGAAGGAACACCAGUGGCGAAGGCGACUACCUGGACUGACACUGACAC